GGCUGUCAAUAGGUGGCUGAAAUUAUGUCCACCAGAUAGCGCGAGUGUCUUCAGCAGUGACGCAUAACGGCCAUUUUGUUCCAAGACGCAGAAGAUAUGGGUUGCUGGUCGUGACGUUUCACGUUUCUCAUGAUGGAAAUUAAAAGCAGCUCUGUUAAAAGGUGAUUUAGCAUGUAGAAACCACUUUGCCAAAUCAUUCAACUCAGACUUGGAAUUGCCGAAAUGGCGUGCCUCGUGUGUCUUGCUGCCUGUCUUAGGCUUACGUCUCAUCCCAUGCAACAGCAAAAAGUAUAACAACCACACUUCUUAAACGCUGUUGGUUACCUUGUUGCAGCCAAAUGGGGAAAGGUGUGACGAAGACUGAUUGAACCGUUGUAUUCAGCAUGAGGUUGCAGUGUGAUCCAGAAGUUGCUGUGCUGUUGUAGCUGAGCUGUUCCAUCUGGCUUCCUGACUUGAAAAUUUUUGUGUUAUUGUUUGCCUGCCAGUAUUUUGUGUUGUGACUUCAAAUAGUUUGAUCUGUCGUCUUUUGAGUUUUUAUUCAAUCAUGCAGUAUACGACUGAGGCAACCUGAUCAAUGUCAGGUUUGACACAGUUGAGAACUGCUAGAUAAAACAAGCUUUCUGCGCCAAACAAAUAAUAAUUUGCAUAUAACUUGCAUCAUAUUAUUAUCGCGGUAGAGAAAGCGACAGGCCCCCCCCCCUGGGGGCCACAGGAAAAAUAUGAAUUCAAAUACAAAUUUUGUAUAAACUUUUGUUAUGAAUAAACUUUGUAUAUAAUAAAAUUUUCGAAAACA